rnacentral:rRNA from 1 species
GAAUUUUAUAUAAAUUUAUUUAAAUAUUUAAUAUAUAAAUUAUUAUAUUGUAAUAUAUUAGUAUAAUCUGUAUUUUAUUUAGAAUAAAAAAUUAUAUUUAAUUGGGAGGAUUAUUAAAUUAAAUAAACUUUAAAUUAAAAUUAUUACAUAAAUAAAUGAAAUAAAAAAUUAUUAUUAUAAGAAUGAUUAGUAAAUUAAUAAAGAAAUAAUUACCUUAGGGAUAACAGCGUAAUAUUUUUGGAUAGAUCAUAUAAAUAAAAAUGAUUGC